UUGGCCAUUGUAAGCGUUUGCUUUUUCCUUUUCCCCUGCCCUUCACGGCGUUCACGCGCACGUACACACGCGUGCUCCCAUGAUCGCUCAGAGCGACUGUGUACGCUAGCGGCCACCUAUCACAACCACCGCCUCUCCAUUUUGCCUUGCUAUCUCUUGACUUGCGUUGUUCCUGUUUUGCGCAACACACGUGGCCAUUCCCCCCUCGACACACCAACCGGGAAUUUCUCUCUUUCUCACACACACACACACACAGAGGCGGGCGGACAGAUACGUUUUGCUUUUCGUCGCGCGUGCGCGCCUUUCCUGUCUCGCCUCCUCCCUCCUCUGCUACUGACGAAGCGUAAAAAAAAGCGUUGAGCCUUCGACGGCACCAAUCAGGGGCAACAACGAAACAACGCGCGCGCUUAGAGAAGUACAUAAGAAGUCUGAAUCGACAGACACACCGACACGCAUCAAGGAGUUCCUCCCUCCCCCUCCCCGAGCCAUCACCUCACCCGCGUCAAACUCCCGCAUCGCGCACGCGCUCUCUGUCUCUCGCUACCGCGCCCUGAAUUGUCUCGCGCGCGUGUUCGUUUGGCAGUUCAUUGCUCGCGCAAGUGCGUGACGACAAG
rnacentral:misc_RNA from 1 species